GUUAAUCGGAAUUACUGGGCGUAAAGCGCACGCAGGCGGUUUGUUAAGUCAGAUGUGAAAUCCCCGGGCUCAACCUGGGAACUGCAUCUGAUACUGGCAAGCUUGAGUCUCGUAGAGGGGGGUAGAAUUCCAGGUGUAGCGGUGAAAUGCGUAGAGAUCUGGAGGAAUACCGGUGGCGAAGGCGGCCCCCUGGACGAAGACUGACGCUCAGGUGCGAAAGCGUGGGGAGCAAACAGGAUUAGAUACCCUGGUAGUCCACGCCGUAAACGAUGUCGACUUGGAGGUUGUGCCCUUGAGGCGUGGCUUCCGGAGCUAACGCGUUAAGUCGACCGCCUGGGGAGUACG
rnacentral:rRNA from 1 species